GGGUUGUGAGGUUAAGCGACUAAGCGUACACGGUGGAUGCCCUGGCAGUCAGAGGCGAUGAAGGGCGUGCUAAUCUGCGAUAAGCGCCGGUAAGGUGAUAUGAACCGUUAUAACCGGCGAUACCCGAAUGGGGAAACCCAGUGUGAUUCGUCACACUAUCAUUAACUGAAUCCAUAGGUUAAUGAGGCGAACCGGGGGAACUGAAACAUCUAAGUACCCCGAGGAAAAGAAAUCAACCGAGAUUCCCCCAGUAGCGGCGAGCGAACGGGGAGGAGCCCAGAGCCUGAAUCAGCAUGUGUGUUAGUGGAAGCGUCUGGAAAGGCGCGCGAUACAGGGUGACAGCCCCGUACACAAAAGCGCAUGUGCUGUGAGCUCGAUGAGUAGGGCGGGACACGUGGUAUCCUGUCUGAAUAUGGGGGGACCAUCCUCCAAGGCUAAAUACUCCUGACUGACCGAUAGUGAACCAGUACCGUGAGGGAAAGGCGAAAAGAACCCCGGCGAGGGGAGUGAAAAAGAACCUGAAACCGUGUACGUACAAGCAGUGGGAGCACAGGUUUACCGGUGUGACUGCGUACCUUUUGUAUAAUGGGUCAGCGACUUAUAUUCUGUAGCAAGGUUAACCGUAUAGGGGAGCCGGAGGGAAACCGAGUCUUAACCGGGCGUUAAGUUGCAGGGUAUAGACCCGAAACCCGGUGAUCUAGCCAUGGGCAGGUUGAAGGUUGGGUAACACUAACUGGAGGACCGAACCGACUAAUGUUGAAAAAUUAGCGGAUGACCUGUGGCUGGGGGUGAAAGGCCAAUCAAACCGGGAGAUAGCUGGUUCUCCCCGAAAGCUAUUUAGGUAGCGCCUCGUGAAUUCAUCUCCGGGGGUAGAGCACUGUUUCGGCUAGGGGGCCAUCCCGGCUUACCAACCCGAUGCAAACUGCGAAUACCGGAGAAUGUUAUCACGGGAGACACACGGCGGGUGCUAACGUCCGUCGUGAAGAGGGAAACAACCCAGACCGCCAGCUAAGGUCCCAAAGUCAUGGUUAAGUGGGAAACGAUGUGGGAAGGCCCAGACAGCCAGGAUGUUGGCUUAGAAGCAGCCAUCAUUUAAAGAAAGCGUAAUAGCUCACUGGUCGAGUCGGCCUGCGCGGAAGAUGUAACGGGGCUAAACCAUGCACCGAAGCUGCGGCAGCGACGUUUAUGUGUUGUUGGGUAGGGGAGCGUUCUGUAAGCCUGUGAAGGUGUGUCGUGAGGCAUGCUGGAGGUAUCAGAAGUGCGAAUGCUGACAUAAGUAACGAUAAAGCGGGUGAAAAGCCCGCUCGCCGGAAGACCAAGGGUUCCUGUCCAACGUUAAUCGGGGCAGGGUGAGUCGACCCCUAAGGCGAGGCCGAAAGGCGUAGUCGAUGGGAAACGGGUUAAUAUUCCCGUACUUGGUGUUACUGCGAAGGGGGGACGGAGAAGGCUAUGUUGGCCGGGCGACGGUUGUCCCGGUUUAAGCGUGUAGGCUGGUUUUCCAGGCAAAUCCGGAAAAUCAAGGCUGAGGCGUGACGACGAGGCACUACGGUGCUGAAGCAACAAAUGCCCUGCUUCCAGGAAAAGCCUCUAAGCAUCAGGUAACAUCAAAUCGUACCCCAAACCGACACAGGUGGUCAGGUAGAGAAUACCAAGGCGCUUGAGAGAACUCGGGUGAAGGAACUAGGCAAAAUGGUGCCGUAACUUCGGGAGAAGGCACGCUGACACGUAGGUGAAGUGAUUUACUCAUGGAGCUGAAGUCAGUCGAAGAUACCAGCUGGCUGCAACUGUUUAUUAAAAACACAGCACUGUGCAAACACGAAAGUGGACGUAUACGGUGUGACGCCUGCCCGGUGCCGGAAGGUUAAUUGAUGGGGUCAGCGCAAGCGAAGCUCCUGAUCGAAGCCCCGGUAAACGGCGGCCGUAACUAUAACGGUCCUAAGGUAGCGAAAUUCCUUGUCGGGUAAGUUCCGACCUGCACGAAUGGCGUAAUGAUGGCCAGGCUGUCUCCACCCGAGACUCAGUGAAAUUGAACUCGCUGUGAAGAUGCAGUGUACCCGCGGCAAGACGGAAAGACCCCGUGAACCUUUACUAUAGCUUGACACUGAACAUUGAGCCUUGAUGUGUAGGAUAGGUGGGAGGCUUUGAAGCGUGGACGCCAGUCUGCGUGGAGCCGACCUUGAAAUACCACCCUUUAAUGUUUGAUGUUCUAACGUGGACCCGUAAUCCGGGUUGCGGACAGUGUCUGGUGGGUAGUUUGACUGGGGCGGUCUCCUCCUAAAGAGUAACGGAGGAGCACGAAGGUUGGCUAAUCCUGGUCGGACAUCAGGAGGUUAGUGCAAUGGCAUAAGCCAGCUUGACUGCGAGCGUGACGGCGCGAGCAGGUGCGAAAGCAGGUCAUAGUGAUCCGGUGGUUCUGAAUGGAAGGGCCAUCGCUCAACGGAUAAAAGGUACUCCGGGGAUAACAGGCUGAUACCGCCCAAGAGUUCAUAUCGACGGCGGUGUUUGGCACCUCGAUGUCGGCUCAUCACAUCCUGGGGCUGAAGUAGGUCCCAAGGGUAUGGCUGUUCGCCAUUUAAAGUGGUACGCGAGCUGGGUUUAGAACGUCGUGAGACAGUUCGGUCCCUAUCUGCCGUGGGCGCUGGAGAACUGAGGGGGGCUGCUCCUAGUACGAGAGGACCGGAGUGGACGCAUCACUGGUGUUCGGGUUGUCAUGCCAAUGGCACUGCCCGGUAGCUAAAUGCGGAAGAGAUAAGUGCUGAAAGCAUCUAAGCACGAAACUUGCCCCGAGAUGAGUUCUCCCUGAGACUUAAAGUCUCCUGAAGGAACGUUGAAGACGACGACGUUGAUAGGCCGGGUGUGUAAGCGCAGCGAUGCGUUGAGCUAACCGGUACUAAUGAACCGUGAGGCAUAACCUUACAAAGCCGAUG
rnacentral:rRNA from 1 species